AUUGAACGCUGGCGGCAUGCUUUACACAUGCAAGUCGAACGGCAGCGCGGUCUUCGGCCUGGCGGCGCGUGGCGCACGGGUGAGUAAUACAUCGGAACGUGCUCAGUAGUGGGGGAUAGCACGGCGAAAGCCGGAUUAAUACCGCAUACGACCUGAGGGUGAAAGCGGGGGAUCUUCGGACCUCGCGCUAUUGGAGCGGCCGAUGGCAGACUAGCUAGUUGGUGGGGUAAAGGCCUACCAAGGCGACGAUCUGUAGCUGGUCUGAGAGGACGACCAGCCACACUGGGAGUGGGACACGGCCCAGGCGACUACGAGAGGCAGCAGUGGGGAAUGGUAGACAGUGGGCGAAAGCCUGAUCCAGCAAGGCCGCGUGUGUGAUGAAGGCCUUCGGGUUGUAAAGCACUUUUGGCGGGAACGAAAAGGACUGUGCCAAUACCACGGUUGGAUGACGGUACCCGCAGAAUAAGCACCGGCUAACUACGUG
rnacentral:rRNA from 1 species